rnacentral:tRNA from 1 species
UGGUGGGCGCGGACGGUUUCGAACCGCCGACAUCCUGCUUGUAAGGCAGGCGCUCUACCCCUGAGCUACGCACCC